rnacentral:tRNA from 2 species
GGAUGAUUAGCUCAGCUGGGAGAGCACCUGCCUUACAAGCAGGGGGUCGGCGGUUCGAUCCCGUCAUCCUCCACCA